GACGAACGCUGGCGGCGUGCUUAACACAUGCAAGUCGAACGGAAAGGCCCUGCUUUUGUGGGGUGCUCGAGUGGCGAACGGGUGAGUAACACGUGAGUAACCUGCCCUUGACUUUGGGAUAACUUCAGGAAACUGGGUCUAAUACCGGAUAGGAGCUCCUGCUGCAUGGUGGGGGUUGGAAAGUUUCGGCGGUUGGGGAUGGACUCGCGGCUUAUCAGCUUGUUGGUGGGGUAGUGGCUUACCAAGGCUUUGACGGGUAGCCGGCCUGAGAGGGUGACCGGCCACAUUGGGACUGAGAUACGGCCCAGACUCCUACGGGAGGCAGCAGUGGGGAAUAUUGCACAAUGGGCGGAAGCCUGAUGCAGCAACGCCGCGUGCGGGAUGACGGCCUUCGGGUUGUAAACCGCUUUCGCCUGUGACGAAGCGUGAGUGACGGUAAUGGGUAAAGAAGCACCGGCUAACUACGUGCCAGCAGCCGCGGUGAUACGUAGGGUGCGAGCGUUGUCCGGAUUUAUUGGGCGUAAAGGGCUCGUAGGUGGUUGAUCGCGUCGGAAGUGUAAUCUUGGGGCUUAACCCUGAGCGUGCUUUCGAUACGGGUUGACUUGAGGAAGGUAGGGGAGAAUGGAAUUCCUGGUGGAGCGGUGGAAUGCGCAGAUAUCAGGAGGAACACCAGUGGCGAAGGCGGUUCUCUGGGCCUUUCCUGACGCUGAGGAGCGAAAGCGUGGGGAGCGAACAGGCUUAGAUACCCUGGUAGUCCACGCUGUAAACGGUGGGUACUAGGUGUGGGGUCCAUUCCACGGGUUCCGUGCCGUAGCUAACGCUUUAAGUACCCCGCCUGGGGAGUACGGCCGCAAGGCUAAAACUCAAAGGAAUUGACGGGGCCCCGCACAAGCGGCGGAGCAUGCGGAUUAAUUCGAUGCAACGCGUAGAACCUUACCUGGGUUUGACAUGGAUCGGGAGCGCUCAGAGAUGGGUGUGCCUCUUUUGGGGUCGGUUCACAGGUGGUGCAUGGCUGUCGUCAGCUCGUGUCGUGAGAUGUUGGGUUAAGUCCCGCAACGAGCGCAACCCUUGUUCACUGUUGCCAGCACGUUAUGGUGGGGACUCAGUGGAGACCGCCGGGGUCAACUCGGAGGAAGGUGGGGAUGACGUCAAGUCAUCAUGCCCCUUAUGUCCAGGGCUUCACGCAUGCUACAAUGGCUGGUACAGAGAGUGGCGAGCCUGUGAGGGUGAGCGGAUCUCGGAAAGCCGGUCUCAGUUCGGAUUGGGGUCUGCAACUCGACCUCAUGAAGUCGGAGUCGCUAGUAAUCGCAGAUCAGCAACGCUGCGGUGAAUACGUUCCCGGGGCU
rnacentral:rRNA from 1 species